ACUAACGGGUUAAUAUCUUAAAUAUCUAAGGCUACCCCACCAAAACCACCCCCCAAACCACCCAACACCCCUUUAUCUACCUCACUCACGGCUGAAUUCAGCCAACACACUCCAAUCAUCUUUGCUCUCUCACACACACAACACCCAAAACACCUACUUAUCACGCCAAACACCAUUUUUAGCUUGGACGGAGGUUUCAAGCUCCGAUUUGAGCACCGAGACGAGCACCGAUCAUCUUUUCGAUCACGUAUCUAAGUAGGUCCUUUUGGGAAGUAACGACUUGAGGGAGAGAGUGACGUUACUCAUUGAUACAGAGACACAACGAGGUUGAGCUGAUGUGAUGAUGGUGCUGCAAUGAGCGGAGUCUCCAGGGUUGUUAAUAAAUAGUUAACCUGUCUAGAAUAUGUCUUCAUACAUAUGUCUAGCUACUUUCCGCUGCAAGAUGUUGUUGAUGUUAUAGUAUGUUAUGUCAUACUUUGAGUCUUAAGAGAAUGGUUUCAUAUGAUGUAUAACUUGAUUAAUGAUAUUAAUUAAGUUUUAUGUUGUCUUUCA